UACGGAAGGGGCGAGCGUUGUUCGGAAUCAUUGGGCGUAAAGGGCGUGUAGGUGGUUCUGUAUGUCUACCGUGAAAGCGUACGGCUCAACCGUAUUUAGUCGGUAGAAACUGCAGGACUUGAGGCUGGGAGGGGCUGGUGGAAUUCCCCGUGUAGCAGUGAAAUGCGUAGAGAUGUGGAGGAACACCGAUGGCGAAGGCAGCCCCCUGGGCUAACACUGACGCUCAUGCACGAAAGCGUGGGGAGCAAACAGG
rnacentral:rRNA from 1 species